rnacentral:rRNA from 1 species
ACCUACGGGGGGCAGCAGUGGGGAAUAUUGCCCAAUGGGGGAAACCCUGAUGCAGCGACGCCGCGUGAGUGAAGAAGUAUUUCGGUAUGUAAAGCUCUAUCAGCAGGGAAGAAGUUGACGGUACCUGAGUAAGAAGCCCCGGCUAACUACGUGCCAGCAGCCGCGGUAAUACGUAGGUGGCAAGCGUUGUCCGGAUUUACUGGGUGUAAAGGGCGUGUAGCCAGGCUGACAAGUCAGAUGUGAAAUCCGGGGGCUCAACCCCCGAACUGCAUUUGAAACUGUUGGUCUUGAGUAUCGGAGAGGCA